rnacentral:rRNA from 1 species
GAAUUCGAUUAACGCGAAGAACCUUACCUGGGCUUGAACUACUCGUGGUAGGUCGCUGGAAACAGUGGCCGACCCGCAAGGGAGCGAGCAGAGGUGCUGCAUGGUUGUCGUCAGCUCGUGUCGUGAGAUGUUGGGUUAAGUCCCGCAACGAGCGCAACCCCUAUCUCAUGUUGCUAAUCCCGCAAGGGAUGCACUCUUGAGAAACUGCCUUCGAUAAGAAGGAGGAAGGUGGGGACGACGUCAAAUCCUCAUGGCCCUUAUGUCCAGGGCUACACACGUGCUACAAUGGCCGGUACAACGGGAAGCAAUACCGUAAGGUGGAGCCAAACCCUGAAAGCCGGCCCCAGUUCAGAUUGUGGGCUGCAACCCGCCCACAUGAAGGCGGAAUCGCUAGUAAUCGCGAAUCAGCAGGUCGCGGUGAAUACGUUCCCGGGCCUUGUCACACCGAAUCACUA